rnacentral:rRNA from 1 species
AUUGAACGCUGGCGGCAGGCCUAACACAUGCAAGUCGAGCGAGCGGCGGACGGGUGAGUAAUGUAUGGGGACUGCCCGAUAGAGGGGGAUAACUACUGGACCCGGUAGCUAAUACCGCAUACUAUCGGAUAACCCAUAUGGGAUUUGCUAGUAGGUGGGGUAAUGGCGCACCUAGGCUACGAUCCCUAGCUGGUCUGUGCGGAGGAUCAGCCACACUGGGACUGAGACACGGCCCAGAGGCCUACGGAGGCAGCAGUGGGGAAGAUUGCACAAUGGGCGCAAGCCUGAUGCAGCCAUGCCGCGUGUAUGAAGAAGGCCCUAGGGUUGGAAAGUACUGUCAGUCGGGAGGCGUUACCGACAGAAGAAGCACCGGCUAACUCCGUGCCAGCAGCCGCGGUAAUAC